UCUGCCCUGAGUCUGAAAUGUACACCAGGCUCUUCUGCUGUGUGGCUCUUUGUUUCCUGUGGACAGGACAGGCAGAUGCUGGUGCUGGAAUCACUCAGAGCCCACACAAGAUCACAGGCACAGGGAAGAUGGUGACUCUAACGUGUCACCAGACUCAGAACCAUGACUACAUGUACUGGUAUCGACAAGACCGGGGACAUGGGCUGAGGCUGAUCCAUUAUUCAAAUGGUUUUGGCAGCACUGACAAAGGAGAAGUCCCUGAUGGGUACAGCGUCUCCAGAUCAAGUACAGAGAACUUCCCCCUCACACUGGAGUCUGCUACCCCCUCCCAGACAUCUGUGUACUUCUGUGCCAGCAGUUACUCCACAGCAUUGCAUGGCCACCUCCUCUCUGUACAGAAAGUGUAG